CUGACCUGACCCCACCAACAACAUACAAUGAGAAUAAGUCAUUAGAUCUUGAUGUGUAAGGAAUGAGUGAUGAUGCCUUUUAAUUAUAUCUACAAUUCUACCUACAUUACUAUCUGAACAUUUCAGUAAGUUGGAUAACAAUUUUUUAGCCUUAGAAAAUGAAUCAUCUCCAAAACCCUCCAAAAACUGUGGUGUUUCAAUUUCACUUAACACAGAUGAACAAUAAUUAUGCAGUCUUCUUAGUAUUUCUGAAUGUUUUUUUGAAUCUUCUUCAUUCUCCAUUCCCCUCCAUUCAGUUUCUCCUGUAGGGAAAGAAAAAUUACUGUUAUAACAAUAAACUAUAUAUGAAGGGAUAAAAUUUAAUUAAAAAUGAUUCACCAUUACCAUCAUAUUCUUUAACAGGUGAUAUAAGAGAAAGUAUGGUCAGCAGUCUUGGAAGGAUGGCAGGUGGACAGUAACUGCGUUUAUUUUUAAGACACUCGAGAAUAUCAACAAGGGAAUCCAAGACUUCUAAUUUAACAGAGUUCAAUGGGAACAUGUUUUCUUGUGAGCAGAGAGGGUCAAGAAUGCAGCACAAGCUUCUCAUGAUGAUUUGUCUUUGGUCGUCUGUUGGGUAAACACACUUGUACUUAUAUAUUCAGCUUUAAAAGUUAAAAAGUGGGAAAUGACAAGACAAGACACUUACUCAGGAGAACAAUGCCUGUCUCAUGUAAUGUGAAAGUACUCAAAGUUUGGGACCAGUGUUGAGCUGCUUUUUCAAUUUUAUCCUCCCAUACUAUGUUGUUUGUGUCACUAAGACUGCUACCAACAUUGAGUAACUGAUGAAGAGCCUCAUUCAAACCCUGCAACAUAACUUUAGCAGGGAAACAUAAUUAGAAAUCCAAGAAAUAUUAUUAUAUAUAAAAUAAAAAUAAUCAGUACCUGAGGUAGAAAGAAAUGCGCUGAAA